AAGACAUUUCCCAUCCCGCCCCCAAGUGGGGCCAAGUAGACGUGGGGAGUUGCAAAAUAAACAUGGUUCCCGCACUCGAGGGGACUGUGGAAACACUGCCACAAUACGCAGAUCAAGGCAAUUAUGAUUCAGACUACAUUUCUGGGAUGCUCAGACUGCCAACUGGAAGUUUACAAAUCUUUAUUGCAUCCCUACCAAGAGCCCGGCUGAAGCAUUAGCGAUGCGAUGAUGAAUGGAACAUUCUGGAUGCUCAAUAAACA